AAAAUCGUUAAAAUUUAUCUUAGAUUAAUAAAAAAAUAAAUAUUUACUUUUAAGGUUAUGUUCUUUAAGUGACAGUUAUUGACAGAUUAUUUAUUACCAAUAAAAGCAGCUUUAUUCUCUAAUAUUUUUAUUAAUUUUAAGCGAUUCAACUUGCAGAGAGACAAGGUUGGAUCUCAAUAGAGUCGAUGGGUUUUGUCUUUUUCAUACAAUAAAGGAAUUAAUAGAAAAUAAACUUCCUACAAUGUGUUAAAACGAAAAAAGAAGUAAAUAAGUUAAG